GGGGGUAUAGCUCAGUGGUAGAUUGCAUGCUUAGCAUGCACAAGGUCAUGAGUUCAAUCCCCAGUACCUCCA
rnacentral:tRNA from 1 species